ACUGGUGAUAGCUCAGUCAGUAGGGCAUGAGACUCAUAAUCUCAGGGUUGUGGGUUUGAGCCCCAUGUUCGGUA